UACAGAGGUCCCAAGCGUUGUUCGGAUUCACUGGGCGUAAAGGGUGCGUAGGCGGCGCGGUAAGUCGGGUGUGAAAUCUCGGGGCUUAACUCCGAAACUGCAUUCGAUACUGCCGUGCUUGAGGACUGGAGAGGAGUACUGGAAUUUACGGUGUAGCGGUGAAAUGCGUUGAUAUCAUCAGGAACACCGGAGGCGAAGGCGGCUCACUGGGGGGUCUUCUGACGCUGAGGAACGAAAGCCAGGGGAGCGAACGGG
rnacentral:rRNA from 1 species